rnacentral:rRNA from 1 species
GAUGAACGUUGGCGGUGUGCCUAAUACAUGCAAGUCGAACGGAGACUGUAGCAAUACUGUCUUAGUGGCGAACGGGUGAGUAACGCGUUGGUGAUCUGCCUCGAAGUGUGGAAUAACCUCCCGAAAGGGAAGCUAAUACCGCAUAGUCUCUCAAGGUUUAGAAAAUUGAGAGUAAAGGAUUUAUUCGCUUCGAGAGGAGCCUGCGUCCCAUCAGCUAGUUGGUAGGUAACGGCCUACCAAGGCAAUGACGGGUAGGGGACCUGAGAGGGUGGCCCCCCACAAUGGAACUGAAACACGGUCCAUACACCUACGGGUGGCAGCAGUAGGGAAUAGUUAGUAAUGGGCGAAAGCCUGAACUAGCAACGCCGCGUGUGCGAAGAAGGCCUUGGGUUGUAAAGCACUUUUUGAGAGGAUGAGGAAGGACGGUACUCUCAGAAUAAGUCUCGGCUAACUACGUGCCAGCAGCCGCGGUAAGAGUGUGUGUA